GUUCCUUCCUACACAUUGCAUGCUGUAUAAUGAGUAAAGAAAGAGAGUAAUAAGAGUUCACAGAUUUUUAUUUUAUUAGAAUGAUUUAACUUUCAAUUAUGUUAUUGUUUUCCUGCAGAUGGCACCAGAGUUUCUGCCUCCACUCCAAUGUAUGUUCUGCUAACAAAUAACUUUCUAUUAGUUAUUAAUGAGACAAAGUAUUCUGUAAUACCUCCGAAAAAAGACCAUGUGAGCAGCGAGCAGUCUACAGAGAUGGACAGUGACUUUAUGUGGCGUUACAUGUAGAAAAUCACCAGCUCAUCAGAGAACAGGAACUCCUGGACAAACUGGAAGAGCUAAACGACCAGCGACAAAUUAUUGAACAGACGAGGUCGCAGUUAUAUCUGAAAGCUGAAGCUAAAUCCAGUCGAUUCAUGUGGACAGCUUUGGGUCUGAUGGCCACUCAAGUUGGAGCAUUGGCUUGGCUAACAUGGUGGGUCUACUCCUGGGACAUCAUAGAGCCCGUCACCUACUUCAUCACAUAUGGGAGU